GCGGUUAUAGUUUAACUGGUAAAACCACAGCCUUCCAAGCUGUUGUCGCGAGUUCGAGUCUCGUUAACCGCUUCA
rnacentral:tRNA from 1 species